rnacentral:lncRNA from 1 species
CACCAAAACAGUGAUCAAGCUUACUAAGUAUCUGCUAAUGCGAAUUUGUCACAAAAAAAAAACUCAAGUAAAGAAAUCAAACAUAAAUCCAUAAAUAUCCAACUUAUUCCUAAAACAAACUAUUAUGACAAAAUCCAAGCUAUCAAACAGAUUGAUACAAAAUUUAGCUAAGUAAGAUGAAGUCAACAAAGUGUCUUCACAACAUCAUUUGCCAAAAACUUUCACAAUGAAAACUAAUGCAAACCCAACAGUAAUAAUACAAAAUAAAAUAAAUCUCAUACCAAAGCUAAAAGAAAACUUUUUAAAAAAUGCAUACUGUGCACCUUAAAUUGCUACCUGAACAACAUAUACCUUAGAAAUUCAAAACAUUUCUAUGAAAAUCUUUUUAGUACAAGCAACAAAUAAAUAUAUGUAUCGAUAUGAGAUGCCGAGAAGUUCAUUUUUAGGCUACAACAAUUUUCAUUUCUCAAAGAAAUUCAAAAUCGAUGCACCUUUAUCGAGCAUGAUCUCCAAAUAAUCCAUACAUCAAACUCAAGCAGUGAAUACAACAAACAAUGUGAAGAGGUGUAACAAGUCACUAAUUAUAACACUUGAAAUCUGGAAGAAAAUUACUACUUAAAAAAAUGGCAAAACGGAACACACAUCAUCAGGAAAGAAAGAACGAAAAGCAAGAACAAGAGUAUUACCUUUUCUUGAGCAGUGACUCCGGGACUCGAGACUCCGAAGACGAUUCCACCACCACCCUUGAACUCCGGCGAGCUCCGAGAAAAAGCUCGGAAGAACAAAAAAUAAAAUUAAAAACUAGGGGUCAAAGUUUUGUGGAUUCGGUGUUAUAAGAAUAAUGUUCUUUUGACUAAAAUCGUCCUCCCUCCUCUAUGUUUUCCAAUAUUUCUUCCAACCCUGAUCAAAGAGAAAGAGGGGUAUUUAUAGGGGAUUAACUAGGUUAAAUAUGGGGGGAAAUCAGGCAGAAAUUCCAAUUCAAAAUUCAAAUUCAAAUUCCUUUUUCACUGGAUAAAACUGAUAAGCUGUCAAUAGUACCAGUUCAAACGGUAAAUUGAAAGGAGCCGUCUGAUUGUGAGAGAAGGACGGACAAGGCUAGGAGAUCUCUCCACCUGGCUUGGUUUGAGAAUAUUAUGUACGAGAGGAUAAAAAGAGAGGGAGAGAGCACGCGCUGGGCUGCUGCUCGCGAUUUGCUGGGCUAUUCCGAGUUUCUGGGUUUUGGAAUUUUUUGGUUACUGGGUUGUUCGCGAGGAAGAAGAGAGACUCAGGGGUCGGCAUGUGUUGCUAUACGUAUUGUUGGUAUGGGUAUUGAAAUGGGUUUAUGUAUGGAGAAUGGACUGUUUUGGUAUGUUGUGUGUAUUGUUGUUUGUGUUGUAUUGGUGGGCUAGGAUUUAAUUUGAGAAAGAGAGAAGUAGGCUGGAAAAAUGAAAAAGACCCAAAAAUGGGUCUUACAAAGAGUUGGAAUAAAUUGUUUAUGUGUGGCUAAAAUUGUAAUUAAAUAAUAGCCCAAAUAAAUUUCAAUUGUAACAAAAUCGAACUCAAUCAAUGAAUUUGGUCAAAACUUAAACAAGACGAAUUAAUAUAAAUUAAUUAACGAGCUUCUUAUUUUUUAACAAAAUAAAAUAAUUAACCUAAGUAUAAACUAAAUAAUUUAAAAUAUAAACUAUUAUAUAACUAAACUAAUUAACCAAAUAUUUAAUUACAACAAAAUCUUUUUGAGAUGAUUUUUGAAUAAUCAUAAAAUAUAGUAAUUAUAUAUAUAAUUAUGUAAAACAUAUAUAUUAUCUAAAAAUUAUAAAAAGUGACAAAACUAUUUAAAAUAACUUGCAAACUAUAUUAUUAUUAUUUUUGUUGAAAAUUUUAUAAAACUAAUUAUUUUAAAUCAUUUGGAAUUUAAGAAGCUCGACGAUUAAUUUAUAUUGUAGAGGUCCAAAAUUGGGUGUCAAUAACUGUCCCUCGUUUGACUUGGAUUGAUGGAAGAAAUUCGAGGCAAAUGAAAUUGACGAAUCCAAUUUUGACCGACCACAUCUUCAUCCUUCUGAAAAAUGGCUUUGGUACGGACUUUAGAAAUUAUGGCCGAACCCCGAAAAUGGGUUUUCCUACAUAUCUCAGGCUAUAUGAAAAUUCAGGCCACUUGUAGUUCGAUACACUCGAUUUGACGCACAAUUUUGAAAAACUCAAAACUCAUCCCGAUAUCAGAUUAUGAAGAGACCGAAAUGCUCGCAAUAAGAUUUAAGAGCGGAUGUUGGAAUACAACCGAGUUUUGAAGACUGAGCUCACCUAUAUAUCCUUAAACAUUAGGAAUCAGGCUACCUGUAGUUCAACUUGAUCGGUAGAAAAGAAAAUCUAUUAUGCAAGAUAACCUUUGGCUCUGAAAGAGUGACAAAAUAAGUCGAGUAUGAAAAUGAGGCUUGCAACCUCUUAGCCAUGAAUGCGGAGCUCUUCACAUCCAUAAGUAAGAACUUACACAGACAUAAUUUACAAAGCUCUUAGUGCAUUUUCACUCGGAUUGGAAAGUUGCUCCCGGCGAAAACAAAUUUUUUUCGGAUGCAAAACUGAGACCGAUAAACCUAAAGAAAAACCCGAAUGCCUUCUGAUAGGGGUGUGGUUUGAUUGUGGUGGAAGUCGCUCCUCAACUCCCGUCCUAAGAGUUUGAUACUCCUCUUUGGACUAUGUCCAGUUCGCUACUAAGAAAAAGUUCCACGUUGUGCUGCAUCCUUAUUGAUGUCGUCCGCACCUGUGGUUUGAUUUGAGAAUUCAUCCUCUUGGAUGCUCUCGACAAAGACUGAAAUAAACUUGUUAGUAGAAACUGUAAUUGGAAAAAAUGCUAGCAUCUCCUACGAUGCUUUUCAAUUACUCUUGCUUUGAAAGACGUCGUAUAGAUAUGUUUAGUAUAUGUCUGCACACUCAAAGUAAACAAUUAGUAAAGAAAGAUCAUUCAUGUAAUAAAAGAGUAUAUCUUUAUGGAUAAGCAUAAACAUCUUUUCAACUAGAUGAGAAAACUUUCAUAGGGAACGAACAAAUAAAUUGAAUAGUAUAACCACUCAUCUCAUAAUUAUCAAAUAACAGAUUGUGCCAGAAAUCUUUUCUUAACUCUUACUCCCAAUACAAGAAAGCAGAUUAAGAAGACAAAAUUUGGGUAUCUGCAAAAUCAUCAUAUAUUCAUCUAUAUCUAUAUCUAUAUCUAUCUAUCUAUCUAUACUACCUUAAAAGCAUGAACUCCUAACUUGAAUGUUAUAUUACUAUAAUAUCCCUAACUUAGGUUGUGACUUUUUCGAUGAGUUGUGACUUUUUUGAUAAGUUAUGACUUUUUCAAAGGGUUGUGAUUUUUCAAUGAGUUGUGAAUUUUCCAAAGUGUUGUAACUUUUUCAAUAAGUUGUGACUUUUCGAAAGGGUUGUGACUUCUCGGAAUGGUCGUGACUUUUAAGAUAAGACACAAAAAAUAAUUGUUCAUACUACCCUUUAUUGACUAUAAAGAGAGGGAUUUCCUCUCAGUUUUCAACCACAAGUUUUUUUAAUCUACUACUCUUCUUCUUCUUGCAUUUUAAAAUUUUUUGUGCGAUUAUUGUCGUUGAUUGAGUUCAAAGUUUAGCAGAAUAUGAGGUACCACUAUUCUGAUGAAGUAAAUUGUUCUAUCCUAACACGGUAUAUUCCUUAACCUCGGGUACUUGCGGAAAAUAAUUUUGAUGAUAUGAUAAUUAAUUUUUUGCUUAGUGUAUACAUUAGUAUGUAAUGUUCCAAUUUAUGAGGUUAACGUGAUAUAGUCUAAAUUCAUUUGUUUUUGUUAACAAUUUCUCUUGUGAUAUAGAUAUAUGCUUCUGAAUAUCUUUUUCAGAAAUUAUUAAACUUCUCAAGAGUUAGAGAAUUGUCAAGAUUUAUUUUUUUGAUGCUCAAGGCAAAAUAAUGACUUUAUUUAUCAAUACUAUUUAUGUGAUUUAGUGUAACGACUUGUUCCUGUCGUUAUAGAAAAGCCAACGGGGGAAAUUUGGAUUUUCCCAACCUAGUCCAGAUUUGGACGAAAUUAGAGUCUUUGAGGUGUAGGAAAAUCUGGUAACAAUCGGAUGAAUCAUUUAUGAUUUUGAUUGCAUGAGUGGUUAGAUAACUCGUUAAGGAAUCCCUAUGACUUUAUGGAAUUGAAUUCGGGCGAGUAGAAUUUUUGAAAUUGAUCUUAGCGUAAGGGGUAUUUUCUGAGUGUCGUGGGUUAGAGGUGUGCUGUGAAAUUGGGAUUUUGGAAUUCUUUAAUUAGAUCACUUUCUCACGUAACCCGCUUUCGCGCUGGGUUUUGCCACUCUGGAGGGCCCGCUACAGCCGGGUGACGGCUGCUGUGGCGGGCUCGACGCGACUUAAGGUCGUUAAUAAACCCCUAAACAACCUUAUUUGGCACUUUUCGAUUUUUAGAGCUAAGGAACGAACCCCAGGUGACUCCUACUCGUUUUUCACCAUUCUUGAGGCUUAAGGAAAGCUUUUCACUCCCCAAAUUUGAUUUUCGAUCCGUAGAACAUAAUAGAAUGGGUGAAUAUUGAUGGGGGAGGGUUUUGCAAUAGAUUCUAUGGUGGAAACAACUUAAAUUUGGAUAAUUGGGAUCAUGGGUUUGAUCUAGGGUUCAUAUAAUUGUUAGUUAUUCGAGUAAUUAGUGAUUGUUUAUUGAUUCCCAUAUUAUAUUGAUUGUUUAUAGACCAAGAACUAGCGGAACGAAUCCGAAAAGGGAAGGAUCAAGUUUCUUAGGGUUUCAAGCUUGUUUCGAGGUAGGUGAUAGUUGUGAUUCUAUGAUUGUGUGAUGUAUGGUUGUUCUUGCUUCACUAUGAUACUUGUAUAUGUAUGAAUGUUGCAAUGUUGAUCAUAUUUGUUGUAAAUGAGAUAGAUGAAUGAUGAUUGUCAUGAAAUCAUGACUUAAAUAUAUGAUCUUGAUGAUAUACUUGUAUAUUGUUAUUAUGGUGUGUUGAAUAGAUUGGUUGCCAUGUUCCGGCUUAACUAACUUGGAUCGGUUGCCACGUUCCGACAUAACUAUGGGAUCGGUUUUCACGUUCGGCAUAAUUAUGGGAUCAGAUACCAUGUUUCGGUAUGCUAACUGUUUGGGUUUAGGUUCCAUGAGAGGACCAAUGAUUUGAUAUAAAAAGUGAAGUUGUUCGUUGUUCGUAAUUGUUGAUAAUAUUAUAUAUAUAUUGAUAUAUAUGCAUGUGAUUCUAAUGUUUUCUUGACUUGCUUAUGUUGCACUUAGUGGGAUAGCCGUGUGAUCCUACCAGUACACUGUGAUUGUGUACUGAUACUGCACUUGCUCUUAUUUUAUUAAGUACAGGGCAUCUUCAAGCGGCUACUAACAGACCUUGCUUAGGAAAUCAACGAUCAUUGUUUGAAUUUAAGGGUGAGCUAAUUCUUCCGGGCUUCCAUGGUUUCUCUUUCGUCUUUGUCCAACAUUUCCAGACUUAGACUAUUUUCUAGUUAGUUAUUAGUUCAUUAGUAGGGGUUGUAAUCCUUCUUGUUUAGACUUGAUUCAUUGUUAGAUGUUUUGGUACAUUGACUUUCAGGUUCUAGGCAUUACUUCCGCAUUGUUAGUUUAUUUUUGUUUGACUUUUGUUGGAGUUUAUGGGAACUCCUUAUUUAUUUCCUUAGUAUUUAACUUGCUUCCAUAACUUAAAUGCCUUAGUUUUGGUUUAGUUGCUGGGUUUGAGUUGUAGUAGUGGUUCUCCCACCGGAGGGUUAGUGUGGGUGUCAAUCACAACGGUCUAGGUCGUGACAUUUAGAUUGUCAGAAAGUUUGCUUCAAAAUAGUUAUUACUAUAUAAACAUUGCCCUUUUGUUUUACUGAUUUACUAUUUCUUAAUAUUUAAGAUUUUCGACGAAGAAAAGUUUAUAUGACUUGUAAUAACGCCAGUUGAAGAUUGUAUUAGUUUAAUAUUUAUUGUAGUCUAAAUUCAUUUGUUUUUGUUAACAAUUUCUCUUGUGAUGUAGAUAUAUCUUUCUGAAUAUCUUUUUCCAAAAUUAUUAAACGUCUCAAGAGUUAGAGAAUUGCCACGAUUUGUAUUUUUGGAAGCCCAAGACAAAAAAGAUGAAUUUAUUUAUCAAUGCUACUUAUGUGAUUUAGAUUGUCAGAAAGUUUGCUUCAAAAUAGUUAUUACUAUAUAAACAUUGCCCUUUUGUUUUACUGAUUUACUAUUUGUUAAUAUUUCAGUAUUUUCAAAGAAGAAAACUUCAUAUGACUUGUAAUAACACCACUGGAAGUUUCUAUUUGUUUUCUUUUAUUGUAGUCUAAAUUCAUUUACUUUUGUUAACAACUUCUCUUGUGAUGUAGAUAUAUGUUUCUCAAUAUCUUUUUCCAAAAUUAUUAAACUUCUUAAGAGUUCGAGAUGUAUCACGAUUUGUUUUUUUGAUGCUCAAGACAAAAGAAUGACUUUAUUUAUCAAUGCUACUUAUGUGAUUUAGUUUAUCCGAAUGUUUCUUAAAAAUAAUUAUUACUAUGUAGACAUUGCCCUUUUGUUUUACUAAUUUACUAUUUCUUAAUAUUUCAGUAUUUUCGAUGAAGAAAAGUUCAGAUGACUUCUUAUAACGCUCAUCUAUUGCACAUUAAUUCUUUUGUUCUAACAUUAUAAAUUCUUUUAGUUAUUACUAACUAUCGCAAAUGUUAUUCACACUUUUUCACAUUUUUAGUUAAAAUAUUAUCAAUUCUCAUAGUUAUCACAUUAAUUAUUUUUAUCUUUCAUCUUUCCUUAUAUUGACUUUUGACCAAUAAUUUUUCAUAUUAUUAUACAGCCCCUAUAUAUGUGAUAACAUGGUGUUGUUAUUUUUCCUUGGACGAAUCAUGCUUGGUUGAAUAAAUUGAAAAUUGUUUACAAGUAUAUGAACUAUAUCUUUGUUGGGUGUAAGAUAAAUAGGUGAUUAUAUAUAUGAUUUCACAGAUAGAAUAUAUUCUUUAAUUUUAAUUUUUAGUUUUUACGGUAAAAAAAAAUGAAACCUUUCUCAGUUAACUAUGGACAGCCAGAUAACUAUCUUUGAUUUAUGUGCACAGACAAUAGAGAAGUCAGAUAUGAGAGCCAACAAAAAGAAGUCAUUUAUUAUGUUAUAACAUAUAAAAUAAAAAUUAAUAUACAAAAAUAGUUCUAAAAAAUGAAAUGUACUUGGUCUCCACAUGUUCAUAUGACAUCUGAAUAGAUUAAGUGGAAUACACGUGAAAAGCACAUCUUGUUAGAUGACAAAAAAAAUACACAACAAAUAUCGUCUAUAAGGUAAUAUUAGUGAGACAUGACUAAUUACAUAAUUGUACCUUAUCAAAUUGAAAUAAAUAUAUACAUUAUUGCAUUUAACUAACAAAUUUUUCGUAGACCAUCUUCAUAGAUUCGUGUGAAUAAGAGAUAUAUAUGACGAUCCACGUUGAACAUUCAAAAAAUUCUGCAAUAUUAUUUUUUGUAAAGCUUAUUAUUCAAAUUUCCGCUUAAAUUUUCUGAAUUGAUAAUCACGUGCAACACAUGUGUCGAAAAUCUAGUACUCCAUAUAUAUCAACUUAUUGGUCCAAAUUCUUAAAUCGUUUACACAAUUUUCAGCCAAACUUUCUUGCUAAUACAAGUAUAGAAAAGCAGACAAAAAAUUGAGAAUCUAGAUAUUCCAAUCACAUGUACGAAAGAAAAAAUACAGGCCUAAUUCUUGAAUAAUGAACCUUAGAAAAUAAUUUGAAAAUAAACCUUGAUAAUAAACUAUGAUGCCGAUAUAACCCAAUUCCAUCACCAACACCCAAUCCACGAUCCUUGAUAAAUUUCACAAUGGAUAGAGAAUAGUCAUUACUACUCAUAAUAUCAAUACGAUGAAUUCCAUUUUCAAGAAAAUCAUGAAUCUGCUUGCUGCAUUUAGUGCAGUCACUAGCCCAGAAAACAACAAAAUGGACACUGUCUUUUUUAUGUUACCGUGCAUAUUCUAUUAGAUGAACAAAGGAGAACUACAUUGACUAAUGCUAAUGUAGACACUUGGUUACUAGAAUCUAAGUACAAUAUAAAUUCAAAUCAGCAAAAUUGAGGUGUGAAGACGAUCAAUGAUAUCGGCGAAUUCAAGUAAAUAUGCAGAAAAAGGAUGGACUAAAAAAGAAUGUGCUUUAUUUAAGACCUUUCAAGAUCAAACAACUUGAGUUUUCACAGGAAUUAAACUCUUUUUCCCUUAUUUAAGGUAUGGACUCUGCUAUUAUGGAUAUUUAUUUUGCUCUACUUACAUUUCAAGAGUUGAAGUUACCUUUCUUUUGCUAUCCUUCUUUCGCUCUAGACAUUAGCUAGGAUUUUCAAAAACAGUUGAGCAGCGAGCAGCUUUGAUUAUGCAAAAAAAUGGAAACAAAGACUUGAAUGAAUGUAGCAUUAUUCUUGCGCUAAUGCAAAAGCUUUAAGUCAGAUGAUUGAAAGAGUUUAGACCCUAUAUUGUUACAAAAUUAGUUUUCUUAACUUAAUACAUCUUUGUUCAAUUUAGAAAUCACAUUCCUUUAUUCAAACAUGCCCUAAUACUUUGUACUCUUAUUUUCUAUAGAUAUCUUAUUUACUGGACAGUACUGUACGAAAUCCAUCAAUUUAAAGAUUUUGCUAUGAUGAUUAAAGGGUAAUCUUGUACCAUUGAGGGUGUGCCAAAAUGAGGUCCUUAAUUAGGUCAUGUUAGAUCCUUAUUUCGAGGAAUAUUUUGUGAGUAUAUCAACUAUUUCUCACAUUAAGCUUAUUUCUAGGUUGACAAAGAACAUCACAACUAUCUAAACUAUUACACAAACUUAAAAGAACAUUAUAAUAAUAGGGAAUGAAAACACAAGUACAAAAAGGUAAUUGCGCAGACUAAAUUGGGAACUUCAAGAAUUCCAAUUUCAUAAUUAUGUCUUCAGCUAUUACAAUUAUAUGAAAGAGUAAUACUAAACCAAAGACUAUGAUAUUAUGUUGUUUUUUGUCCUAAAUUAUUGGACAUUUCCACUAAGAGCCAACCUGAGAAAGCAAUUUGAAUACUAAACAGGAAAAUCUAGGAUCCCGAUAAAGCCCAAUUUCAUCACUAUCGCCCAAUCAGUGAUCCUUGAACAAUUCGAUGCACCAAAGAGCAAAAUCAUCAAUGUACACCUUCCUUACCCAAACACUUCAACCUUCAUACUUCUUAGGGGCAUUCCACUCAGUUAGAUCCCACAUGUCAACACACACACUGCAGCCGUUCUCCAAAAUUUUGGCCAUGUCCGAAGUCAAGUAUCGAAGGAUGUACUCAAACAUCUCAAAAAAUGGAAUCAUCAGCAUUCCAACAACGAUCUCGUCAUGGGUAAUCUUUUUCUUAAUCUGCCAUGGGUUUUAGAGAUCUAUUUUUGGGGCACGGUACAAGUCCCUUAUCUCCACUAGUUCUCGAGUCACUACAUGUGGAGUGUUGUUGACUUUGCAAGCUUCUUCUUCAACUUUUGAUGGAAAGAAAUUGUAAAAGAAGGUCUUCGUCAUGCUAAGCAAAGGCCUUUGAUCAGACAUCGAAGAAAUCAAGGAAGGAUACAAUUUUUCCGAAAAUAAAACACUGAAAAAGUGAGAGGAAGUAACACCUUAUAAAGACACAAAUUAGGUUUUCUAUUCCAACUUUGAGCGGGAAUCAGAGAAAAUUAUUAGUAUUUUUAAAUUUUAAACUUAUUUCAGAGAAGACUUAUAAAAUAGGAAAAAUGUGUCAUUUUGGCAUUUAAAUUCCGGAUAAUAAUUCCAAGAUUGUUAUCUUAUGUGAAGUGUGGAUAAAAAUAUGAGUUUAACUAAUAUCCAUCGAUGGUGUAGAAUUUUUUACACGGUCAAGUAACUAAAUGGGAAAAUCCAACUUUUGAUCCUGAUUGUUGAAUCAUUUGCACAAGUAUCAGCGGAUCUUUUCUUGCAAAUACAAGUACAGAAAAACAGACAAAAUUUGAGAAUCCACAUAUUCCAAUCAUAGGCCUAAUUUAUUAAUCACUAACCUUAGAAAAUAAUUUGAAAAUUAACUUUGAUCAAUUUCACAAUGGAUAGAGAAUAGUCAUCAGUACUCAACUUCCUAAAUGGAAUCCGCAACUUCCAAAAGUAAGUUCUUCCUGGGUAAUCUUUUUCCUGAUGUGCCUCGCGGUAUUCAGAUUGAAUAUCAGAGGAGGGCCUAUCUCUAUUAGCUCUCGAGUCUUUACUCAUGUUGUGUGGUUAACUUUGUAGGCUUCUUCUUUCACGUUUGAUGGAAUGAAACCGGUGAGAGUAUAUAUUUGUGGGUCAUUAUUUUGAUAAACGGCUAGUUAUGUCAUUUUUUCUUAUUUAUUUGAGUGAUUUAGAAAAUAGAUUACCAUCUACGUUUUGUCCUUAUGUGAACUUUGCCCAAAAUGUAACCCUUGAGAAAUUAUCCUCCCAGAUAAUAUUGGAUUGUCUAUAGUGUCUGCUCAUAUAUUUCUAAACCUUAGAUACAACAUAAUAUGCUAUUGUCUGAUGUUUGCAAUAACUUACAUAAUUUUAGAUCGUAGUCAGACAUUUCUCAUACGAUUAUCAGGUUACUCGAAUGGGAUCAUUAGACUGUUUCCUGAAAGGUACGUAAAACAUGUAAGAGAUUUUUUUUAAAAGGUCAUUAAUUAAAGAAAAAAGGAUCAAAUUUGACAUCGAACUUCAGAAAAUUUCACAAGUUGUCCCCCAAAUAUAGUGGUCUUGAUUUUUUUUUCCCCAUAAGAAAGUCUUUCAAGGAAUGGUCUGACACCAAGGGGUGUGAUGUAAAUAGUCUACCCUAGUGCAAAAAUUAGUGACUUCUUCAUUGCUCAAACCGGUGACAUAUAAGUCAAACAUUGUAACGACCUGUUCUCAUAGUUAUAGAAAAGUCAACGGGGGAAAAUUUUGGGCCAAAAAUCUUUUUCGUAGUAACUCGAGAUUUCCCAACCUAGUCCAGAUUUGGAAAAAAUCAGAGUCUGUGAGGUCAAGGGAAUUAUGGUAGCAGUUGGGUGGUCUAAUUAUGAAUUUUAUUACAUGAGUGGUUAGAUAAAUCGUUAAGGAAUCAGUACGACUUUACAAAAUUGAAUUCAGGUGAAUAGAACUCCCAAAAUCGAUCUUACUGUGAACGGUAUUUUCUAAUCAUCGUUGGUUAAAGGUGUGUUGUGAAAUGGGGGUCUUGGAAUUAUCAAAAUAGCUCACUAUUUCAUGCAAGCCGCUUUGGCGGUGGUUUUGGUCGCUCUGGCGGGGCGGCUGUAGCGGGGUGGGUGUCGCAGUGGCGGGCCAGACGCGACUUAAGGUCGUAAAUAAACCCCAAAAUGACUUUACUCUGCACUUUUCAGUUUUUAGAGCUAAGGAAUGAACCCCAGGCGAUUCUUGAUAGCUUUCCACCAUUCUUGAGGCUAAAGGUAAGAUUUUAACUCCCCAAAUAUAUUUUUCGAUCCGUAGAACGUAAUCUAAUAGGUAAAUAUUGAUGUGGGAGGGUUUUGAUCUAGAAUCUAUAAUGGAAACAACCCUAAUUGGGAGAUUAAGAUCAUGAGUUUGUUCUAGGGUUCAUAUAAUUGUUAGUAAUUCGGGUAAUUAGUGAUUGUUUAUUGAUUCCCGUAUUAUAUUGAUUAUUUGUAGACCAAGAACAAGAAGACCAAAUCUGGAAAGGGAAGGAUCAAGUUUCUUAGGGUUGCAAGAUUGUUUCGAGGUAGGUGAUGGUUGUGAUUCUAUGAUUGUGUGAUGUAUGUUUGUUCUUGCUUCAUUAUGAUUCAUGUUUGUAUGCGAAUGUUGCAUUAUUGAUCACAUUAAUUGUAAAUGAGGAUAUAUGAAUGAUGAAUGCCAUGAAUUAUGACUUGAUUCUAUGAUUAUGAGAAUGUACUUUGUGAAUGUGGUUGUGGCUUGUUGAAUGGAUCGGGUGUUGCGUUCUGACACACUAACUUGGAUCGGUUUUCACAUUAUGGUAUAAUUAUGGGAUCGGUUGCCACGUUUCGGUAUAAUCAUUGGAUCGGGUACCACAUUCCGGUAUGCUAACAAUAUGUGUUUGGAUUCCAUGAGAGGACCAAUAAUUUGGUAUAAUCGUGUAUCUUGAGAAAUAUGAAACUGUUCCUUGUUCGUAAAUGUUAAUGAUAUUGUAUAUAUUUGGUAUAUGCAUGUUAUUGUAUUGUUGUAAUGACUUAUAUAUGUUGCACUUAGUUUGAUUGCCUCGUGAUCCUACCAAUACACUAUGGUUGUGUACUAAUUCUGCACUUUCUCUUUCUGUGUUGAGUACUGAGCAUUUUCUAGCGGUUAUAAGUAGACCUCGCUUAGAAGAUCAGUGAUCGUCAUUCAAAUUCAAGGGUAAGCCAAUUCUUCCAGGCUGCCAUGAGUUCUGUUUCUGUCUACAUCCAUAUUUCGGAUGUAGAUUUUCUAGCUAGUUAUUAGUUCAUUAGUUUGGGGUUGUAACCCUUCUUGUUUAGACUUGUUGAACUUUAGAUGUUUUGGUACAUUGACUUACAGGUUCUAGGUGUAUUUUCCACAUUGUUUAGUUGUUAGAUCUUUUGAAAGUUUAUGGGGACUUCAAACUUUAGCUAUUUAACUAGCUUCCGUAACUAAAAUUCUUUAGUUUUUUGUUUAGUUGCUUAGUUUGGGUUGUAGUAGUGGUUCUCCCACCGGAGGGCUAGUGUGGGUGCCAAUCACGAUGGUCUAGGUCAUGACAAAGUUGUUAUCAGAGCCUAGGUUCAUUGAUCUCGAUGUACCAAAAUGAGUCUAGUAAAGUCUUGUGGAAUGGUACGGGGACGCCUUUACUUUUCUUCGAGAGGCUAUAGGACUUUAGGAAAUCUCUCUGUUUUUCCUUGUCUCCUUUCGUGCUAUAACUUGAUUCCAAUUGGUAUCUGUCGAUUCAAAUUGGUGUCUAACCUCCUUCACUCUUUUAUCCGCAGAUGGUUAAUAAUAGGUUCAACAGCGUCAGACUUGUAGCUCCCGUUAAUGCUCCAGCUGAGGAAUCUGCAGCGAAAGGUCGCGGUCGAGGCAGGGGUAGAGGAAGAGCUAGGGGUAGAGGUCGUGGAAGAGUAGCGCCUGCUGGGAAUGGAGUUCCUAUAGAGAAUGCUCCUAUGAAUAAGAACCCGCAUGCGCAUCAUGAAGAGAUAGAGAAGAAUGUUGAUAUUGAGAACGUUGAAAAUGUUGAUGAUGUGGGACAAGAGGAAGAGAUACAGGCUGAGACUACAGGUAUUCCUCCCUUAGAUCCAGUGUUGUCUUAGCAGAUUAUGUUGUUCUUGAAGAGGUUGGUUGGUCCUGGAGUGCUUCCUUAUGUUCAAGUAGCUCAGUCUCUCGUCCGUCCUCCUAUUGCUAACACUACCCCCAAGACAGGUGGAAUGGGAGGUAAUGAUGCUUUUUUCUGUCCUUUGUUGGGUUCUAUUAUGACUGGUAAUGAGCAUGAAAUUUUGACUAAGUUUUUGAAGCUAAAACCUUCUGUGUUUCUUGGUUCUGAGAAUGAAGAUGCUUAUUAGUUUAUCUUAGACUACUAUGAGAGGCUUCAUAAGUUGGGAAUUGUCCAUUAGCAUGGGGUUGAGUUCGUGACUUUUCAACUUCAAGGUAAAGCUAAGCAGUGGUGGAGAGCUUAUAUGGAAUGUAGAUCUUAAACUUUACCUCCACCUACUUUGACCCAAUUUCAUGCUCUGUUUCUAGAGAAAUAUGUGCCUCAUACUUUGAGGGAUCGCAAGAAGGAUGAGUUCAUGGCUUUGCAGCAAGGUGGCAUAACUGUGGUUGCUUAUGAGGUCAAGUUCCAUGCUUUGUCUAUAUAUGCUACUCAAAUGGUGACUACUGAGGAGGAGAGGAUCUGUUUAUUUAUUAGGAGACUAAAUUCUGAGUUGCAAGUAUCAUCUGUUCAUAUGACCUCUGUAGGGAGGAGCUUUAAUGAGGUAAUAGACUUUGUUAAGAAAAUGAAGGGGGUGAGGCGAGACAGUCACGCUAAGGCAUUGGCUAAAAGGGCCAAGAACUCAGGUAACUUUCAAUGUUCUUACUCCAGGGGGUCCGGAAGGCCAACGCAUGCAGCCAAGCCAAUUCAGUCCGCUAUGCUCGCCUCUACAUGUAAUUACUUGGGAACUCCACCUCCUAAUUUAAUUCAGGAUAGCCAGGGAGUCACAACUUCAGCGGGCAGCAUACCCAUUUUUUAUCGUACAUGUUACAAUUGUGGAGAACCUGGGCAUAUGAAGAUAGAUUGUCCUUACCCACGUAUGCUUGAGUUCGCACAGCAGCAGACUAGUGUAGUGGUACCCACGGGAAAUGGUAAUAAUAGUCGAGGGAGUCCACAAGGUGCGCGAAGAGGUAAUCAGUGACGCCUUGGAGGUAGAGGAAAUGGUAAUGCAGGCAGAGGUAAUGUGCAACCAGGCAGGGAAGUGGUUCGUUAAGAUAAUAGGACUCAGUGUUAUGCCUUUCCGGGCAAGAAUGAGGCAGAGGCAUUUGACGCAGUGAUCACAGGUACUAUUCUUGUUUGUGAUCGGAUGGCUAAUGUGUUAUUUGAUCUGAGUUCUACUUAUUCUUAUGUAUUUGUGCGUUUUGCCUUAGAGUUUGAUAUGAUUUGUGAUGUACUUGAUGCCCCUAUCCAUGUUUCUACCGCAGUUGGAGAGUCAGUCAUAGUCACCUAUGUCUAUCAUGUUUGUCCUACUUUGUUUAUGGGUUUUUAGACUUGGGCUAAUUUGGUGAUUUUGGAUAUGACUAACUUUGAUAUAAUCUUAGGCAUGACUUGGUUGUCCCCCUAUUAUGUUGUGUUAAAUUGUAAUACUAAGUGUGUAACUCUAGAAAUUCCGAAAAGGGAAAUAUUAGAGUGGGAAGGGGUGUACAAGCCUAAUCAAGCAAAUAUCAUAUCCUCCAUUCGGACUAGGAAACUGGUAGAGCAGGGUUGUUUGGCUUAUUUGGCUCAUAUUAAAGAUGUUGAGGUUGAGACUCCAUCUAUUGAGUCUAUUCAUGUGGUGUCAGAAUUUAGAGAAGUGUUUCCUAAUGAGUUGCCUGGUAUUCCUCCGGAUAAAGAUAUAAACUUCUGCAUUGAUUUAGAACCUAGCACUCGUCCCAUUUCUAUCCUUCCAUAUCGCAUGGCUCCAGCAGAAUUAAGAGAGCUUAAGGCUCAAAUCCAAUAGCUUCUUGAUAAAGGAUUUAUCCGUUCUAGUGCUUCCCCAUGUGGUGCUCCAGUUUUGUUUGUUAAGAAAAGGAUGGUAGUAUGAGAAUGUGUAUAGAUUACCGGCAAUUGAAUAGGGUCACUAUUAAAAACAAGUACCCUUUGCCUCGAAUAGAUGAUCUUUUUGGCCAAUUGCAAAGUGCAUCAGUUUUUUCUAAAAUUGAUCUAAAGUCUGGUUACCAUCAAUUAAAUAUUAGGCCUGAGGAUGUGCCCCAGAUGGCGUUUAGAACUCGUUAUGGGCACUAUGAGUUCCUAGUUAUGUCUUUUGAUUUGACUAAUGCGCCUGCAACUUUCAUCACUUUAAUGAAUAAGGUGUUCAAGCCAUUUCUUGAUUCUUUCGUCAUUGUCUUUAUUGAUGAUAUUUUGGUCUAUUCGAAAAGUGAGGAAGAGCAUGCCGACCAUCUUCGUAUUAUUCUGGGUGUUCUUGGGAAACAAAGGUUGUAUGCUAAAUUUUCUAAGUGUGAGGUUUGGUUGACUUCUGUUGCAUUUUUGGGACAUGUAGUUUCGAAAGAAGGGGUAAUGGUAGAUCCUCAAAAUAUUGAGGCGGUUAAAAAUUGGGUUCGACCAAGUUCUGUGACUGAACUUAGGAGUUUUGUGGGCUCGCUAGCUACUAUCGUUAAUUUGUGAAGAACUUUGCUUCUAUUGCCACUCACUUGACUAAUUUGACCAAAAAGGAGUUACCAUUUGAAUGGACUGAAAAAUGUGAGGAGAGCUUCCAAAAGCUCAAGACUCUUUUGACCACUGCACCCCAUCCUAGCAUUACCGGUUGAAGGUAAGGAUUUUAUUGUUUAUUGUGAUGCUUCACAUUCUGGUUUGGGUAAUGUGUUGAUGCAUGAUAAGAAUGUUAUAGCUUAUGCCUCGCGUCAAUUGAAGGUGCAUGAGAGGAAUUAUCCAAAACAUGAUUUAGAGUUGACAGCGGUAGUAUUUGCUCUUAAGAUCUGGCGACAUUACCUCUAUGGUGUUAAGUGAGAGGUAUUUACUGAUCAUUGUAGUUUGUAGCAUGUGUUCACUCAAAAUGAUCUGAAUUUGAGACAGCGUAGGCGCAUGGAGUUACUUAAAGAUUAUGAUUUCACCAUUCAAUACCAUUGAGGUGAGGCUAAUGUGGUGGUAGACGCUUUGAGUCGAAAAGCGGUGAGUAUGGGUAGUUUAGCUUGCUUAAGUGUAACCAAGCGACCUUUGGCUAAGGAAAUCCAGACAUUGGAGUCUAAGUUCAUGCAGUUAGGCAUCUCAUAAAGAGGUGGGGUGUUAGCGAGCAUUGAAGUGAGGGCCACAUUCAUUAAAGAGAUCAAGGCCAAGCAAUUUGAGGAUGAGAAUUUGAAUGAACUUAAGAAGAAGACAGCGAUUGGAGGCACUAGAGACCACUCUUGAUGCGGAAGGUGUGCUCAGUUUUAAAGGAAGAAUUUAUGUUCCUCUAGUUGAUGACUUGAUUCAGAAAUUGUUGGCAGAAUCUCAUGGUUCGCGAUAUUCCAUUAAUCCGGGUGGGAGCAAGAUGUUUCGAGAUUUGAAGUGAAUUUAUUGGUGGCCGGGCAUAAAGAAGGAUAUAGUGGAGUUUGUGGCUAAGUGUCAAAAUUGUCAACAAGUAAAAUAUGAACACCAAAGGUCUGCAGGUUUGCUUCAACGAAUGCCUAUUCCGGAAUGGAAGUGGGAAAUGAUAGCCAUGGAUUUCGUGGUUGGACUUCCCAAAACUUUUGAUUCUAUUUGGGUAGUGGUUGAUAGAUUGACUAAGUCAGCCCAUUUAUUCUGGUAAGAAUAGAUUAUAACGCUGAACAAUUGGCUAAAGUUUAUGUGAAAGAGAUAGUGAGGUUGCAUGGGGUGCCCCUUUCUAUCAUCUCAAACUGUGGCACCCAAUUCACUUCCAUGUUUUGAAGGAAGUUACAUGAUAAAUUGGGCACACAACCCACUUUUAGUACAACCUUCUACCCACUGACAAACGGGCAGUCAGAGAAGACUAUUAAAGUGUUAGAAGACAUGUUGAGGGCAUGUGUGAUUAAUUUUGGAGGAAAUUGGGAAAAAUUCAUACAUUUGUAUAGGUUCUCCUAUAAUAUAGUUAUCACUCCAGCAUUGAUGUGGCACCAUUUGAGGCGCUUUAUGGGUGGAGAUAUAGAUCACCCAUAGGGUGGUUUGAGGCUGGAGAUGUGUAACCAUUGGUGGUUGAUUUAGUGAAGGAUGCUCAAGAUAAGGUGAGGAGUAUUCAAGCUAAGCUUUUAGCANNNNNNNNNNNNNNNNNNNNNNNNNNNNNNNNNNNNNNNNNNNNNNNNNNNNNNNNNNNNNNNNNNNNNNNNNNNNNNNNNNNNNNNNNNNNNNNNNNNNNNNNNNNNNNNNNNNNNNNNNNNNNNNNNNNNNNNNNNNNNNNNNNNNNNNNNNNNNNNNNNNNNNNNNNNNNNNNNUAAGUCCGCGAUACAUUGGUCCCUUUGAGGUUCUUGAAUAUGUAGGACUGGUAGCGUCUAGACUGGCCUUACCUCCUAACCUAUCGGGAGUUCAUUUGGUAUUUCAUGUGUCCAUGUUGAAGAGAUAUCAUGGAUUACAUCAUUAAGUGAGACUCCAUUGUGUUAGACAAAAGACCUCUAAUAUGAGGAGGAACUGAUUGCAAUUCUUUAUCGUGAUGUGUGUAAGCUGAGGACCAAAGAGAUUAGGUCCGUGAAAGUUCAAUGGAAGCAUCAUCCAGUUGGGAAAGCUACUUGGGAGACCGAGAGGAAAGACAUGUUGAGGGCAUGUGUGAUUAAUUUUGGAGGAAAUUGGGAAAAAUUCAUACAUUUGUAUAGGUUCUCCUAUAAUAUAGUUAUCACUCCAGCAUUGAUGUGGCACCAUUUGAGGCGCUUUAUGGGUGGAGAUAUAGAUCACCCAUAGGGUGGUUUGAGGCUGGAGAUGUGUAACCAUUGGUGGUUGAUUUAGUGAAGGAUGCUCAAGAUAAGGUGAUGAGUAUUCAAACUAAGCUUCUAGCAUCCUAGAGUAGACAGAAGAAGUAUGCGGAUCAUAAGGUAAGAGACAUGUCAUUUCAAACCGGUGAGAAUGUUCUUCUUAAGGUAUCACCCAUGAAAGGGGUGAUGAGAUUUGGCAAGAAGAGCAAACUAAGUCCGCGAUACAUUGGUCCCUUUGAGGUUCUUGAAUAUGUAGGACUGGUAGCGUCUAGACUGGCCUUACCUCCUAACCUAUCGGGAGUUCAUUUGGUAUUUCAUGUGUCCAUGUUGAAGAGAUAUCAUGGAUUACAUCAUUAAGUGAGACUCCAUUGUGUUAGACAAAAGACCUCUAAUAUGAGGAGGAACUGAUUGCAAUUCUUUAUCGUGAUGUGUGUAAGCUGAGGACCAAAGAGAUUAGGUCCGUGAAAGUUCAAUGGAAGCAUCAUCCAGUUGGGAAAGCUACUUGGGAGACCGAGAGGAACAUGCGAGACAAGUAUCCCUAAUUGUUCAUCGAUUCAGGUACUACUCUAUUCCUUCUUUAGCUUAUUUUCCUAAGUUUGGCACUCGGGGACGAGUGAUGGGUAAAUUGGUAUCUAUUGUAACGACAUGUUCCCGUCAUUAUAGUAAAGCCAACGGGGAAAAAUUUUGGACCGAAAAACUUUUUCGUAGUAACUAAACAUUUCCCAACCUAGUCCAGAUUUGGACGAAAUUGGAGUCUGUGUGGUCUAGGGAAAUCUGGUAGCAGUUUGGUUGUCUAAUUAUGAAUUUGAUUACAUGAGUGGUUAGAUAAGUCGUUAAGGAAUCCGUAAGACUUUACGAAAUUGAAUUCGGGUGAGUAGAACACCUGAAAUCAAUCUUAGCGUGAACGGUAUUUUCUGAGCAUCGUUGGUUAAAGGUGUGUUGUGAAAUGGGGGUCUUGGAAUUAUUAAAAUAGCUCACUAUUUCGUGCAAGCCGGUUUGAUGGUGGUUUUGGUCUCUCUAGCAGGGCCGCUGUAGCGGGGUGGGUGCCGCUGUGGCGAACCAGACGCGUCUUAAGUUCGUAAAUAAACCUAAAAUGACUUUAUUCUGCACAUUUCGAUUUUAAGAGCUACGGAACGAACCCCAUGCGAUUCUUGGAAGCUUUCCACCAUUCUUGAGGGUAAAGGUAAGAUUUUAACUCCCCGAAUCCAUUGUUUGAUCCGUAGAACGUAAUUUAAUGGGUAAAUAUUGAUGGCAGAGGGUUUUGAUCUGGAAUCUAUGGUGGAAACAACCCUAAUUGGGAGAUUGAGACCAUGGGUUUGAUCUAGGGUCUAUAGAAUUGUUAGUAAUUUAGGUAAUUAGUGAUUGUUUAUUGAUUCCUAUAUUAUAUUUAUGGUUUCUAAACCAAGAACAAGCGGAACGUAUCCGGAAAGGGAAGGAUCAAGUUUCUUAGUGUUUCAAGCUUGUUUCGAGGUAGGUGAUGAUUGUGAUUCUAUGAUUGUGUGAUGUAUGUUUGUUCUUGCUUCAUUAUGAUAUAUGUUUGUAUGUGAAUGUUGCUAUUAUUGAUCACAUUAAUUGUAAAUAAGGAUAUAUGAAUGAUUAAUUCCAUGAAUCAUGACUUGAUUGUAUGAUUAUGAGAAUUGUACUUUGUGAUUAUGGUUGUGGCUUGUUGAAUGGAUCGGGUGUUGCGUUCCGACACACUAACUUGGAUCGGUUGCGACGUUCCGGCAUAAUUAUGGGAUCGGUUGCAACGUUCUGGCACAAUCAUUGGAUCGGGUACCACAUUCCGGUAUGCUAACAGUUUGGGUUUGGGGUCCAUAAGAGGACCAAUGAUUUGAUAUAAUUGUGUAUCUUGAGAAAUGUGAAAUCGUUCGUUCUUCGUAAAUAUUGAUGAUAUUGUAUAUGUUCGGUGUAUGCAUGUUAUUGUAUUGUUGUAAUAAGUUAUAUAUGUUGCACUUAGUGGGAUAGCCGCGUUAUCCUACCAGUACACUAUGGUUGUGUACUGAUUCUUGCAAUUGUUCUUUCUUUGUUGAGUAUAGGGCAUCUUCAAGCGGCUAUUGACAGACCUCGCUUACAAGAUCAGUGAUCGUCGUUCGAAUUCAAUGGUGAGCCAAUUCUUCUAGGCUUCUAUGAGUUCUCUUUUUGUCUACGUCCACAUUUAGGACGUAGAUUUUCUAACUAGUUAUUUGUUCAUUAGUUUGGGGUUGUAACCCUUCUUGUUUAAACUUGUUGAACUUUAGAUGAUUUGGUACAUUGACUUUCAGGUUCUAGGUGUAUUUUCCGCAUUGUUUAGUUGUUAGAUCUUUUGGAAGUUUAUGGGGACGUUCAGUCUUUAGCUAUUUAACUUGCUUCCGUAACUUAAAUGCUUUAUUUUUUGGUUUAGUUGCUUGGUUUGGGUUGUAGUAGUGGUUCUCCCACCGGAGGGUUUGUGUAGGUGUCAAUCACGACGGUCUGGGUCGUUACAAACAUAGAUAACUUUAUGUUGUUUCAAGGAUCUCCUCCCAAUAUAGCAAUAUUUAUGUAAAUCUAGUAAUAGAUUCACAUAUUAUGAAAUAUUAAAUAAAUGUAAAAAUACUAAUGACAUAUAGACUCGUAAUACGAAAACAUUAAAUAAUAUGACAAUACACGUGAUAAAUAGACUUGUAAUGUGAAAACAUUUAAAUAAUGUGACAAUACACAUAACAAAAUCAUAUUAUAAUAAAAGUAGGAAGCCACAAAGUUACAAGUUGAAAUGUCAUUUUACCCCUAUUCUAAUUCAAAAUAUUAUGAAAUAUCGAAUAAGUUAAAUAUUAAUUAUUAAAAAUAUUUCACUUUCUUUUCACCUCCUAACUUAAUUGCAAGCUAAAGAGACAUAAAUUGACCAUAUUCAUUUUGUAAGUUACACAGUGACCAGUUAAUAACAUAUGAUUAAUAUAUAAAAAAAUAAUUGAGAAUGAAUAUGGUUAAUUUAUUGGUUAACUUUUGAAUAAAAUCAUUUUAUUGCAAGUUGAAUUUUUCCUUUAACAUAUUUCUUCCAAUCAUGUAUUUAGUUUACCCUAAUAAUAAGAAUGAUAUUUGUUAAUAACAUGCAAAACAUCUCACAUUUCUGAUGAAUAUAGACAAUUAAUUAAAGAAAAAUUAAUAGUUAUGUAACUAAAUGAAAUUCUAUUAAAUAUUAAAUAAUUUCUAAAUGUUGUCAAACCUUUUUUUCCCACCAUCUAGUACUCCCUCCGUCCAACAAUAGUUGUCCAAUAUACUAAAAAGUAUUGUCCAAUUUAGAAAAUCAAGAGAUAAUUUACCUUUUGUGUCUAUUUUACCCUUUCUAUUAAAUAAUAUUUAUCAUCUAACACAUUUUUUAAAGCAUUAAAUCUAAUAGAGUCAAAGGAUACAAUAGUAAUAUUACCCCUAUUAUUUAUUAUUUCUUAAGGGGUGUGUCAAGUCAAUAUUGGACAAUUUUUGUUGGACAGAGGGAGUGACAUUAACACUAAUGAUGAAUUUAUAUUGAAUUUUGCUCAUUAAACAUCUUAUAUAAAUUAUUAUCAAGAAUGCGUCAUUCUUUCAUCAUUGGAUGAUAAAAAUUCAAUAGGUAUGUAACAAUUUAUGCUCGUCUGUCGCUUCUACUUUUAUUUUGUUUGUUCAUUUUUUCCUCAAACCAUUAACUAAUACAGUGAAGUUUUUUCAUAUCCUAUCAAAAUUUUAUGAGAACACAUUUUGUUCUUUGUUAUGCGAAACAAAAAACUAUAGAGUUUAUUAUAGUGCAUUUUAAUGAAGCAGUGAAAUCAGACACCGAUUUGUUCUUCAAGUUUUUAGUUGAAUCAUGAAUUAGUCAAAUUCCAUUCUGUUCUAUAUUACAAUCUUUUAUUUUAUGGUAAUUUUGUCCUAUCAUAUAGUGUACCAAAUUUAUCAUUUACAAUAUGUUUAAAUUAUGUUUUUGGGAUAAACGUGCAAAGCAUGUUCCUAGAACUAGUAGACUCAUAAUAUGAAAACAUUAAAUAUUGUGACAAUACACAUGACAAAUAGACUCUUGCACCUACUAUGAAUUACCCUAGCGUUCCUUCAAAGUUUCUCAGGCAUUCAGGCUUAUUCAACCUAAAAAUCUUCUUAUUUUCUUCUUUAAUUAUUUUCUUUUGCAAUGAAAAAGAGGACCAACAAAGGUAAGCAAAAGAUUGAAAUGGAGUUGAUUGAAUCAAAAGAAGUGUGUGCUGCUACUUUCUCGCAAAUGAAAACACCAUGUUGUUUAAGUGUAAAACACAAAGACAAUGGACAUAUUUUCUUGUUGUAUUAUUGCAACAAUAACAGUUACUUGUAGGUGUAGAAGUAAAUAUAUGUAAGGAAAUAAAAAAAAAUCCUAAAUAUCUCUACAUAUGAUACUGCAAUCAAUAAAUAUCUCUACCUAUGAUAGUGCAAUGUAUAAUAUAUGUAGACUUGUCUAUGUACAUUCUGCAACACUCCCCCUAAAGUUGGAGCAUAGAUAUUAAUCAUGCCCGACUUGUUAAAAAGAUAUUCCUCAUGAUGUCUACUUAAAGCCUUCGUAAAUAUAUCACCCAAUUUCUCCCCAGUCUUCACAUAUCAAGUGAAAAAUGUGUUCUCUUAAAUCUUCUCAUGGAUAAAGUUACAGUCAACUUCAAUAUGUUUUGUUUGUUCAUGGUACACUGGAUUUGAGGCAAUGUGCAGAGCAAUUUGAUUAUCACACCAAAGUUUUGCUAGAGAAGAAAGCUCCAAACCAAUCUCAGUUAAAAGGUGAUGUAUCCAUAGUAUUUCACAGGUGGAUUGAGCCAUAGCUCUAUACUCGGAUUUUGUACUAGAUCGAGAUACAACAUUUUGUUUCUUACUCUUCCAAGAUACCAAAUUUCCACCAACAAAUAUACAAAUAUCUAGUAGUAGAUCUUCUGUCAUUCUUGAUCUAGCCCAGCAUCUACAAAACACUCAGCACGAGUAGCCUCGUAAUCACUAUACAAUAUGCUAAGGCCAGGAGCUCCUAUCAAAUAGCACAAGAUUUGUUUCAAGGUUGCGUAGUGUUUGACUGUUGGUACAAACAUGAAUUGUCUGACAAUACUAACCUCAUAGGCAAAACUUGGAUGGGUCAUAGUGAGAUAGUUGAAUUACUUUGCUAAAUUUUCCAAACCAAGCACAACGACUUUGACCAUAUAAAGAUUUCCUUAGAUGAAUAACUUCUCUGUACUUCCAUUGAGCAACAACUUCAGGUGGUUGUUUAAUAUAUAUACCUCUUCAUGGAGAUUACCGUGAAUAAACACAUUCUUGAUAUCCAACUAAUGUAAAGGCCAAUCUUGAGAAGCAGUCAAUGAAAUAAAAAAGUGGACAAAUGUGAGCUUGGCUACCGGAGAGAAAGUGUCGGAAUAAUCCAGCCCAUAAGUCUGAGCAUAGUCUUUAGCCACAAGUCUGGCUUUAAGUGGCGCGAAAGAACCAUUUGGAUUGAUUUUGUCAACCAGUGAUAUAUAUAUCACACAUAGAUAACUUUAUGUUGUUUCAAGUCUCUCUUUCCAAUAUAACAAUAUAUAUAUAUAUAUAUAUAUAUAUAGUAAUAGAUACACAUAAUAUUGAAAUAUUAAAUUAACGUGAAAAUACUCAUGAUAGAUAGACUUACAGUACAAAUAUAUUCAAUAAUGUGAUAAUACAUAUGAAAAAUAGACUCAUAAUAUGAAAACAUUAAAUAAUGUGACAAUACACAUAACAAAUAGACUCAUAAUAUAAAAACUUUAAAUAAUAUGACAGUAAAAGUGACAAAUAGAAUCAAUCUUGCACCUACUAUAAAUUACCCUUGCGUUCCUCUCGAAGUUGUUCAGGCAUUCAGGCUUAUUCAACCAAAACAACUUCUAAUUUUCUUCCUUAAUUAUUUUCUUUAGCAUUGGAAAAAAAGGAUUAGCAGAGGUAAGCAAAAGAUUGAAAUGGGGUUGAUUGAUUCAAAAGAAGUGUGCACUUCAACUUUCUCGCAAAGGAAAAUUACCUUCUUGUUAAAAAAAAGCUGACAAGCUUUCAACUCUGUUCGGAGCAAAUAUUUGUGUUCUACUCUCUUCACCAAGUGAAAAAACAUAUUCCUAUGCCUUCAAGAAUAUAGAAACAAUUGUCACUCCCCGAGCCUACACCCUGGACAUGGCCGGCACUCGGAGACCAUCGCUGACCCCAAGCGGACCCUUGGCCUAGCUUACUUAACUCAGCGGAAGACUUAACUCAACAGAAUAAACUCAUUACAAUAGUUUCAAUGAUAACAUCUUACCCAAAAUGGCAACUUAUGUCUCAAAAUAAAGUAUCUGCAAAUACAUAGAUGAGAGACUCAAUACUAACUGUUUGACUGUCUAUGAAUCCUCUAUAAUAUUAAGAUAGAGGUUGGGACAGACCCCACAAAAUCCUAAUAAAGAAAAAAAACUAGGAAAGCGAAAUAAAAGAGUCCUUCGGAAUGAAAUGAGGCUUACCACAGACUCUGGAGUGCUCAACUGGAUCAACGGCGCGCUGGAUGCUGAUCCUGGUUACCUGUGUCUGCAUCAUAAUAAGAUGCAGGACAACUGGAAUCAGUAUAUUGAAUGUAUGAGUAUGCGAGUUGGAAUGCUAAACCACAACUUCAGCUUGAAAGGAGUACAAAUGAACACUUACCUUGGCUCUAUUUAACUCAUGAACAACUGAACUCAAUAAAAAGCAAUAAGACACAUGCAAUAUAUAUAAAACUUGUAAAAUAGUGUAAACAACUUAGUUCGUUAAAGAUAANNNNNNNNNNNNNNNNNNNNNNNNNNNNNNNNNNNNNNNNNNNNNNNNNNNNNNNNNNNNNNNNNNNNNNNNNNNNNNNNNNNNNNNNNNNNNNNNNNNNNNNNNNNNNNNNNNNNNNNNNNNNNNNNNNNNNNNNNNNNNNNNNNNNNNNNNNNNNNNNNNNNNNNNNNNNNNNNNNNNNNNNNNNNNNNNNNNNNNNNNNNNNNNNNNNNNNNNNNNNNNNNNNNNNNNNNNNNNNNNNNNNNNNNNNNNNNNNNNNNNNNNNNNNNNNNNNNNNNNNNNNNNNNNNNNNNNNNNNNNNNNNNNNNNNNNNNNNNNNNNNNNNNNNNNNNNNNNNNNNNNNNNNNNNNNNNNNNNNNNNNNNNNNNNNNNNNNNNNNNNNNNNNNNNNNNNNNNNNNNNNNNNNNNNNNNNNNNNNNNNNNNNNNNNNNNNNNNNNNNNNNNNNNNNNNNNNNNNNNNNNNNNNNNNNNNNNNNNNNNNNNNNNNNNNNNNNNNNNNNNNNNNNNNNNNNNNNNNNNNNNNNNNNNNNNNNNNNNNNNNNNNNNNNNNNNNNNNNNNNNNNNNNNNNNNNNNNNNNNNNNNNNNNNNNNNNNNNNNNNNNNNNNNNNNNNNNNNNNNNNNNNNNNNNNNNNNNNNNNNNNNNNNNNNNNNNNNNNNNNNNNNNNNNNNNNNNNNNNNNNNNNNNNNNNNNNNNNNNNNNNGGGUGAACUGGCGUCCUUGGCGCUCUGAGAGGCGUGGGGCGCCAGGCCCCAUACUUCAGAGAAGUUUGUGGGGCGCUCUGGCUGGCGCGGCGCCCCAAGGCCAAAACUUCAAAGGCUACUUUGGGGCGCGCUUGCUGGCACGGCACCCCAGCCCUGUUACUCAGGUGUUCUCGAUUUUUCUUCUCUGUUUUUCAUCUCUAAUCCCUCCAAUCUUCCCUUGUUCCUUCCCCAAACACUUAGGAUAAAUUGAAACCUCAAUACACAACCAAUCUAACUCGAAAACAUCCCGGAAACAUAAAUCAACUCAACCCCCAAGCAUCAACAAUUCAACCAACAAGAACUUAACGAAUUUCAACAAAGUUCUUCAAGAACUCCCUAACUUUUCAUUCAAUCAACAACCAUUCUCUGAAUAGAAAUAAGAUGAGAGUGUGGGUGAACUAACCCAACACGAAAAGAUCUCACAUACCUUAAUAGGGAUCACCCCCGACGAAUUCCACUCGCAAGCUUGGAUGAUCUUGACGAAUUCUUGCCUUAUUUCGCCCUUUCUUUCUUCUUUUCUCUCUUCUCCAAGCCCUAAGCGUAUUUAUCAAUAAUCCAAACUGAGUAAGUCACGUUUUUAUCCCAAUAAAUCCCUGAAAUCGAAUUAAGAAAUUAAUUAGAGAAAAGACUACUUUGCCCUUCCCUAAAUCCGGUUUGGGACUUUCCUCAAUCCAACAGCCCAACUUUCGAAAGGCAUAUCUCACUCAUAUGAUGUCGAAAUCAUGCAAUCUCAGUGGCGUUGCAAAGAUAUCUUCAAGGUCUUUCCAACCAUAUCAAGAUCUGCUCCUAAAUCCUUCUGAUCUAGGAGUUAUGGUCGUUUGAAAAUGGCCAAAACUCACUUUCUUAACUUAGAUAAAAUUUCGAGAAUUCCUUAUUCUUUCCAAAAAAACAAUAUUUUCAUAUUUUAAACUAUUUAUAGUUGUUUCUUGGUGCGGGAUGUUCCAAUAUCUCCCCCUUGGGAACAUUCGUCCUCGAAUGAGCUUUAUUUCACUAAGCUAAGGGUAGCAACAUCAAGUUCAACACUCAACAAACAAAAGCCAGUAACAACAUGCAUACUCAUAAUUCAGAUAGUACUAAGAAGAGGAUUAGUACCUUGAUCUGAAUUUUCUCCGGAUUCAAAGAGAUGUGGAUAUCUCUUCUUCAUAUUCUCUUCAGCUUCCCAAGUAGCUUCUUCAACAAAUUGGUUCCUCCAAAGGACUUUGACUGAUACGACCUCUUUUGUUCUCAACUUGUGAACUUGACGAUCUAAAAUCUAGACUGGAAUCUCCUCAUAAGAUAAAUUAUCCUUAAUCUCAACAUUUUCAGUUUGCACUAUCAAUGAAGGAUCUCCCAUGCACUUCUUCAACAUAGAGAUGUGAAAUACCGGAUGAACCGCCGCUAAUUCCUGUGGUAGCUCCAACUCAUAAGCUACACUGCCAAUCGUCUUGGCUAUGCGAUAAGAUCCAAUAUACCGGGGACUAAGCUUCCCUUUCUUACCAAACCUCAUAACACCCUUCAUGGGUGAAACUUUAAAAUAUACCCAAUCAUCUACUUCGAACUCUAAUACCCUUCUCCUAACAUCAAUGUAGGAUUUCUGAUGACUGUGUGCUAUUUUCAAUCUCUCUUGAAUUACUUUCACUUUCUCCAUAGCUUGAUGAACUAAAUCUGGUCCUAUCAACCCUGCUUCACCAACUUCAAACCAUCCAAUAGGGGAUAUGCAUCUUCUCCCAUAAAGAGCUUCAUAUGGAGCCAUUUUGAUGCUGGAGUGGUAACUGUUGUUGUAAGCAAACUCAAUGAGAGGUAGGUGAUCAUCCCAAUUUCCUUGAAAUUCAUCACACAAGCCCUCAACAUAUCCUUUAAGGUCUGAAUAGUGCGCUCUGCUUGCUCAUCUGUAUGAGGAUAAAGGCAGUACUUAAAUUCACCUUCGAACCCAAACCUUUCUGGAAAGAUUUCCAGAAUUGUGCAGUACAUUUUGCACCUCUAUCUGAAAUAAUGGAGACCGGAACUCCAUGCAGUCUUACCACUUCUUGAAUGUAUAGCUUAGCAUAAUCUUCUGCCUAAUGGGUAGUCUUUACCGGCAAAAAGUGGGCUGAUUUUGUCAUUCUGUCGACAAUCACCCAAAUAGAAUCAUGUUGUCUGCGAGACCUUGGCAAACCUGUGAUGAAAUCAAUAUUAAUUAUCUCCCACUUCCAUUCUGGAAGUUCUAUAUUCUGCGCCAAACCACCGGGCCUUCGGUGCUCGACUUUCACUUGCUGGCAAUUUGGACACUUAGCAACAAACUCUGCAAUGCCCUUCUUCAUGCCAUUCCACCAAUACACUUCUCUCAGAUCGUGAUACAUCUUUGUGGAACCUGGAUGAAUGGAAUAUCUGGAGCUAAGAACUUCAUCCAUGAUCCUCUCUUGGAGUUCAUCCACCAUUGGUACACACAAUCUACCUUGAUAUCUCAAUACACCAUCUCCCCCUUGUUCAAAAGCUAAUACUCUUUGCUUUUGAACAUUUGCGUUCAAGUCGAGCAAAAUGGGGUCUAGGUCUUGCUUUUCCUUCACUUCUGACACUAGUGAUGAUUCAGCCCCAUUCAUCACCACUAUUCCUCCUUCUGUGGAGUCCAUAAGUCUGACUCCCAAGCGUGUAAGUCUGUGCACAUCUUUGGCUAACUCCCUCUUUUCUUCCUCAACAUGGGUGAUACUACCCAUAGAUAACCUGCUUAAAGCAUCAGCAACAACAUUAGCCUUGCCUGGGUGGUAAAGAAUACUCAUGUCAUAAUCUUUGAGUAAUUCUAACCACCUCCUCUAUCUGAGUGAACACCUAUUGUAGCUCUUUCUGAGUGAACACCUAUUGUAAGCUCUUGUGAUCAGUGAAUACAUCAACAUGAACAACAUACAAAUAGUGACGCCAAAUCUUCAAAGCGAAUACUACAGCAGCCAACUCUAAGUCAUGGGUUGGGUAGUUCUUCUCAUGAACUUUCAAUUGUCUAGAGGCAUAAGCUAUAACUUUGCCAUUCUGCAUUAACACGCAACCCAAACCAACUCUAGAUGCAUCACAAUACACCACAAAACCUUGGGUACCUUCUAGUAAGGUCAAUACUAGAGCACUAGUCAACCUCUUCUUCAAUUCCUGAAAGCUCUUCUCACAAGCUUCAGACCAUUGAAAUUUCACUGUCUUCUGAGUCAACUUGGUCAAAGGAGACGAAAUAGACGAGAACCCCUCUACAAACCUUCUAUAAUAGCCAGCUAAACCCAAGAAACUCCUAAUAUCAGUUGGAGAUGUGGGUCUAGGAGAAUUCUGCACUGCCUCAAUUUUCUGAGUAUCAACUCUAAAUACCAUCACCAGAAAUAAUAUGGCCCAAGAAUGCCACAGACUCAAGCAAAAACUCACACUUAGAGAACUUGGCAUACAACUCCUUAUCUUUCAAAGGUCUGAAGAACUAUUCUAAGAUGACUAGCAUGAUCUUCUUCAUUCCUUGAAUAGAUUAGUAUGACAUAAAUGAAGACGAUGGCAAACAUAUCUAAAUAAGGUUUGAAGACUCUGUUCAUAUGAUCCAUGAACGCUGCUGGUGCAUUGGUAAAACCAAAGGACAUGACCAAGAAUUCAUAAUGACCAUAUCUAGUCCUGAGUGCUGUCUUUGGAAUGUUACAUUCCCUAACUUUCAACUGAUGGUAGCCUGAUCUGAGAUCAAUUUUCAAAAACAGGUGGCACCCUGAAGUUGUUCAAAUAAAUUAUCUAUCCUUGGAAGAGGAUACUUAUUCUUGAUAAUAACCUUAUUUAAUUGACGGUAAUCUAUACACAUCCUAAGGGAACCAUCUUUCUUUCUCACAAACAAGACCGGAGUGCCCCAAGGUGAGACACUUGGUCGAAUGAAACCCUUCUCUAGGAGAUCUUUCAACUGCUCUUUCAACUCUGCUGGUGCCAUUCUAUAUGGUGGAAUAGAGUUAGGACGAGUAUCUGGAAUGAUGUCUAUACCGAAGUCUAUUUCUCUCUCAGGAGGGACUCCGGGUAGAUCAUUAGGAAAGACUUCUGGAAACUCUCUUACUAUAUGAACUAACUGAAUGGGAGGUACCUCAACACUUGAGUCAUUAAUUCGGGCUAAGUGAUAGAUACAACCCUUUGAAACGAACUUUCUCGCCUUAAGGUACGAAAUGAAACGACCCUUAGGCACAGCUGAACUACUACUCCACUCUACGACUGGCUCAUUUGGAAUCUGAAACUUGACAACUCGAGUUCUACAAUCAACUGAGGCAUAACAGGCAUGAAGCCAGUCCAUACCAAGAAUGACAUCAAAAUCUACCAUGUCUAACUCAACUAAAUCAGCCAUGGUGCUCUUGUGAUUGAUGGAAANNNNNNNNNNNNNNNNNNNNNNNNNNNNNNNNNNNNNNNNNNNNNNNNNNNNNNNNNNNNNNNNNNNNNNNNNNNNNNNNNNNNNNNNNNNNNGGUGCAGCCCUGUCUGGUGGAGCAACUGAUGAAGACUGGGCUCUAUUGCCUGGAUUUCCACUACCUUGCUUAUUCUUAGGACACUCUUUCAAGAAGUGUCCCUCUUGUCCACACUUGAAACAACCUGUCAAGCCAUCAAGACACUUACCUAGGUGGGUUCUCCCACACUUAACACAUGCAGGAGCCCAACUACCUCCUUGUGCCACACUACCCUGGAACUGCGCUGGUUUAGAUCUGAAGUUCUGCGAAUUCUGACCAUAAUAUCUGCCUUUGUUUCGAGGUGUAGGUGCACUAGCAGAUGAUGGAGCAGGCCUAUUUUGCUUCUGCUGAAAAGACGAAUGAUUCCUAUUGCCUUUCUUCUACCCAGAAUCAUUCCUUGUCUUCGUUUUCUUACUUCUGAACUCUUCCCUGUCUCUCAGCUUCUCUUCCUCAACCUGCUGCACAUAAACCAUCAACCUUGAUAUGUCCAUGUCACCUAUCAGCAUCGCUGCCCUGCCCUCUUUGCUUGACAGACGACCCAAGCCAAUAAUAAACAAGCUUAUUCUGCUCCUCAUGUCCUUAACCAUUUCAGGAGCAUAGCGGGACAGUUGGGUGAACUUCAACCCAUACUCAUGCACGCUCAAGGAAUCCUGUUUCAGUGUAAGAAACUCUCGUACCUUAGCCUCCUUCAGUUCUCGGGGAAAGAAACGGCCCAAGAAGGCUUUUUCAAAACAAGUCCAACUAGCAGGUGGUGCAUCCUCAGGUCUACCCCCUUCCACUGAUCGAACCAUGUUCUAGCAACAUCCUUCAGUUGAUAUGCAACUAGUUCAAUCCUUCCUGCAUCAGCAACAUGCAUCACCUCAAAAACCUUCUUCAGUUCCUCAACAAAAUUUUCUGGAUCUUCAGUGGUGACCGAACCAGUGAAAAUAGGAGGAUUCAUUCUCAAGAAUUCGCGAAUCCUUGAAGUGUCAGCAUCAUCUUGCCUUGGUCCUCUUGAUUGCCCAACCUGGUUAGUCAUAGCUUGGCUCAGCAUCCGGAUAGCCUCAUGGAAUUUAGCAUUAGUGACCUUGCCCUGAGGUUGCACGUUUGGUGCAUUAGGUACCCCUUGCUCUUGUGGUUCAACAUUUCUCCUAGCUGGACGAACUCGUGCUGCUCUUCGUGGAGGCAUGGUUAUAUGAAACACGCACAAGCACGAAUUAGAAGGAAACUUUUAGAGAUAUACUUUAACGCACGAAAUCGAUAUGAAGGAAGUGAAGAAUUUCCUAAAUGUUGCAGCCUCCUAAUUAUAGAUGUGGCGCACUUCACACCGAUAACUAGGACCCUACAGACACAGCUUCACAGACUCCCUAGGACUCUUGAACUUUGUGCUCUGAUACCAAGUUUGUCAUGCUCCGAGCCUAAACCCUGUACGUGGCCAGCACUCGGAGACCAUCGUUGGCCCCAAGCGGACCCUUGGCCUAGCUUACUUAACUCAGCAGAAGACUUAACUCAACAGAAUAAACUCAUUACAAUAGUUUGAAUGAUAACAUCUUAGCCAAAAUGGCAACUUAUGUCUCAAAACAAAGUAUCUACAAAUACAUAGAUGAGAGACUCCAUACUAACUGUCUGACUGUCUAUGAAGCCUCUAUAAUACUGAUAUGGAUGUUGGGACAGACCCCACAACAUCCUAAUAAAGAAAAAAAACUAGGAAAGCGAAAGAAAAGAGUCCUCCGGAAUGUAAGGAGGCUCACCACUGACUCUGGAGUGCUCAACUGGAUCAAUGGCGCACUGGAUGCUGAUCCUGGUUACCUGUGUCUGCAUCAUAAUAAGAUGCAGGCCAACUGGCAUCAGUUCAUUGAAUGUACGAGUAUGCUAGUUGGAAUCCUAAACCACAACUUAAGCUUGAAAGGAGUACAAAUGAACACUUACCUUGGCUCUGUUUAACUCAAGAACAACUUAACUCAAUAUAAAGAAAUAAGACACAUACAAUAUAUAUAAAGCUUGUAAAACAGUGUAAACAACUUAGUUCGUUAAAGAUAAAGCAAUAACAAACUCAACUUUCCUUAAAUAUAAAAGUAAUAUAACUUUUGUGGGAGAUUCUCUAACCGACAACCACCACUAUGAGCNNNNNNNNNNNNNNNNNNNNNNNNNNNNNNNNNNNNNNNNNNNNNNNNNNNNNNNNNNNNNNNNNNNNNNNNNNNNNNNNNNNNNNNNNNNNNNNNNNNNNNNNNNNNNNNNNNNNNNNNNNNNNNNNNNNNNNNNNNNNNNNNNNNNNNNNNNNNNNNNNNNNNNNNNNNNNNNNNNNNNNNNNNNNNNNNNNNNNNNNNNNNNNNNNNNNNNNNNNNNNNNNNNNNNNNNNNNNNNNNNNNNNNNNNNNNNNNNNNNNNNNNNNNNNNNNNNNNNNNNNNNNNNNNNNNNNNNNNNNNNNNNNNNNNNNNNNNNNNNNNNNNNNNNNNNNNNNNNNNNNNNNNNNNNNNNNNNNNNNNNNNNNNNNNNNNNNNNNNNNNNNNNNNNNNNNNNNNNNNNNNNNNNNNNNNNNNNNNNNNNNNNNNNNNNNNNNNNNNNNNNNNNNNNNNNNNNNNNNNNNNNNNNNNNNNNNNNNNNNNNNNNNNNNNNNNNNNNNNNNNNNNNNNNNNNNNNNNNNNNNNNNNNNNNNNNNNNNNNNNNNNNNNNNNNNNNNNNNNNNNNNNNNNNNNNNNNNNNNNNNNNNNNNNNNNNNNNNNNNNNNNNNNNNNNNNNNNNNNNNNNNNNNNNNNNNNNNNNNNNNNNNNNNNNNNNNNNNNNNNNNNNNNNNNNNNNNNNNNNNNNNNNNNNNNNNNNNNNNNNNNNNNNNNNNNNNNNNNNNNNNNAAGGCCAAAACUUCAGAGGCUGCUUUGGGGUGCGCUGGCUGGCACGGCACGCCAUCGCCAUUACCCAGGUGUUCUCAAUUUUUCUUCUCCGUUUUUCAUCUCUAAUCCCUCCAAUUUCCCUAGUUCCUUCCCCAAACACUUAGGAUCAAUUGAAACCUCAAUACACUACCAAUCUAACUCGAAAACAUCCCGGAAACAUAAAUCAACUCAACCCCCAAGCAUCAACAAUUCAACCAACAAGAACUUAACGAAUUUCAACAAGUUCUUCAAGAACUCCCUAACUUUUCAUUCAAUCUACCACCAUUCUCUGAAUAGAAAUAAGAUGAGAGUGUGGGUGAACUAACCCAACACGAAAAGAUCUCACAUACCUUAAUAGGGAUCACCCCCGACGAAUUCCACUCGCAAGCUUGGAUGAUCUUGACGAAUUCUUGCCUUUUUUCUCCCUUUCUUUCUUCUUUUCUCUCUUCUCCAAGCCCUAAGCGUAUUUCUCAAUUCUCCAAACUGAAUAACUCAUGUUUUUACCCCAAUAAAUCCCUAAAAUCAAAUUAGGAAAUUAAUUAGAGAAAAGACUAAUUUGCCCUUCCCUAAAUCCAGUUUGGGAGUUUCCUCAAUCCAACAGCCCAACUUUCAAAAGGCAUAUCUCACUCAUACGAUGUCGAAAUCAUGCAAUCUCGGCGGCGUUGGAAAGAUAUCUCCAAGGUAUUUCCAACCAUAUCAAGAGCUCUCCUAAAUCCUCAUGAGCUAGGAGUUAUGGUAUUUUUAAAAUGGCCAAAACUCACUUUUUUAACUUAGACAAAAUUUCCAGAUUUCUUUAUUCUUUCCAAAAAAUCAAUAUUUUCAUAUUUUAAACUCUUUAUAGUUGUUUCUAGGUGCGGUAUGUUACAAGAAUAACUGUUAAAUUUUUUGAAUUGAAAUCACACGAACAACAACGAUCAUGCUGAUGUGGGCAAAUGUAAUGUAUGUGUGUCAUUUGGUGAUCAUCUGUCUCUUUCUUGUUGGAAAAAGAGAGGAACAACUACUCGAAUAAGAUAUUAAGAAACAGAGUGAAAUACUUAAUCUUUUCUUAUGCUUCAAGAUACAGCGUUAUAAGUUUUAAAUAGUACUUGGAAGGGAACAAACAUAGAGAAAUAUUAGGGCACUAGUUUAUCACUAACGCAUGACCUACUAACUGACUAACAUAAACUAAUUAGGACUCCUGGAGCUUGUACAAUGGACAUAUUAAAGACUCCUAAAAGUGCUGCCACUAAUAGCAUUGAACUUUUGAAUGCGUCAACUAACACUUCCCCUUGAUUCAAAAUCACACACUCCCAACUUCAACCUGAAAUAUUCAUGCUUAGCCUGAGGAAGAGACAUCGUAAAUAUAUUCGCUACUUGCUCGUUUAUGUUGCAGAAUUUCACCACUAUUCUUCCAUUAGCUACCAAAGUUCGGAUAAAGUGAUAUUGCACAUCAAUGUGCUUAGUUCUCCUAUGAAAGGAGGGAUUCUUAACCAUAGCAAUUGCUGAUUUACUAUCAGAAAAAAUCUCAGUAGACUCCGUUUGCUCGUAACUAAAAUCUCCAAGUAGUUUGUGGAGCCAUAAAGCUUGUCGUGCUGCUAAACUUACUGUUGUAUAAUCUGCCUAAGAUGUCGACAAAGCUACUAUCUCCUACUUUCUUGAACUUCAUGUCACAGCUCUGAAACAAAAUUUGAAACAACUUCCAGAAGUGCUUUUUUGGUCAUCCAAGAAGACUCAUAAUCACUGUCAGUAAAGCCAACCAAUUUGAAAUUUGGUGCUUUAGAAUACCAUAUACCAAAGUCAGCUGUUUCAGCCACAUAACGAAGAAUUCGUUUCACAAUACCAAAAUGUUGCUUUGUGGGGCUUUGCAAUAAUCUGGACAUAGCACUAACAAAAAGUGCAUUGCCAGGUCUAGUGUGCAUUAGAUAAUUCAAGCCACCAACUAAACUUCUAUACAAUUUUGUACUUGCUUUCUCAUUUCUAUCUGCACGCUCCAACUUUUCAUUUAUAUUCAUCGGUGUAGCUUCUGCUUCACAGUUCAUCAUAUGGAAUUUUUUCAGAAGAUCCUCUACUUAUUUCAUUUGAGAAAUAAAAAUUCCAUCUUUAUCUUGGAUCACCUCAAGCCCCAAGAAAUAUUUCAGUAAGCCCAGGUCAGACAUGUCAAAGUUUCUCAUCAUACUGGACUUAAAAUCAUUAACUAAAGACUUUGAGGAACCAAAGUAAAUCAUAUCAUCAACAUAGAGACAAACCACCAAAAAUUCUCCAUUACCUUGUUUCUUCAAGUACAAAGUUGGCUCAUUUUCACUUCUUGUGAAUAUGCUAUCCUGAAAGAAUGACUCAAUUUUACUAUACCACGCACGUGGAGCUUGCUUCAGCCCGUAAAGAGCUUUUCUAACUUGUAGAGUUUGUUCUCAUUGCCAUUAAUAACAAAGCCCUGAGGUUGUGAAACAUAAACAUCUUCUUCCAGAUCACCAUUCAAAAAACGGACUUCACAUCAAAUUGAACACGAGCAAACAUAAUUGUGCAGCUAAAGCCAAAAGAACUCUCAUUGUUUCAAAUCGUGCAACAGGAGAAAAAGUUUCUUCAAAAUCUAUACCUUGUUGUUGUGAAUAUCCUUUUUUCACGAGCCGAGUUGUAUGCUUUUGAAUGCUCCCAUGAUAAUUGUACUUUGUUCGAAACACCCAUUUGAGCCCUAUUACAUUCUUUCCUUCAUGUGCAUCAACUAACUCCAAUGUAGAGUUUCUUUCAAUUGCUUGAAUCUCUUCAGUCAUAGCAUCCUUCCAUUCAAAUUGUUCUAUUGCUUCUUCAUAACAAACAUGAUCUAAAACAAGCAAAACAAAUUGAAAAGAAGUAUUUACACUAUUAGAGUACUUAGGAUUCAAUUUAUUUCCCCUUGUUGAUCUUCUAAGUGGAAUCGGCUCAACAGAAGACACGUCAGGUGCAAAAGUUGUUGAUGGUGCAAUUGAUGAGCUAACAGAUGAACUUAAAGGAAAAAAAUUGGUUGAAUUUCCAGAAUCUACUGCAUGUUCUUCAUCAGUAGAUAGCAAUCGGAUGUUGGAUAUCAUGUUCUCAGAAUUAAAGUUCCAACUUGCAUCCUCAUUUAACACAACAUUUCUAUUUAUAAUCACUUUGACACUUAUGGGAUUAUACAGACGAUAUGCUUUGGAUUGAAGACUAUAGCCAACAAAAUGCAUUUUCUAGAUAUUUCAUCAAGCUUAGAGUGAAAAUUAACCAUAGCAUAUGCUAUAAAACUAAAGAUUCUUAAGUGGCUUACCCGAGGCUUCUUACCAUUCCAAGCUUCAAGAGGUGUUGUGUUCCAAACAACCUUUGUUGGUGAGAUAUUCAUGUUGGGAUAUACUAUUAACCAUAUGGUUGAGUUAUAGUAUUGAUUUUAGUCCUUCAUAAAGACUUUACAUUUUAUGUUAAUUGUUACAAUAAAGUUUUUGUUUGAAUAGAUCAUUGUGUUUAUAUGUGUGUCCAUUGCUUAUAUAGUAUACAAUUUUUGGGUAUGGAGUUCCUUAACUCAUACGCGGAAGAUUAAAAUUGUCGGUUCUUAUAAGUCAUAAAUUAAAUGUUCACAAUCAAAGAUGAAAUUGGACAAGCAUCUUGAUGAUUGUACCACAAGAUUAAAAGUAAUUCAAUCUUAAUUAUGGGAAUGGUAAAAUUCCAACUUCUUGUGUUAGUACAUUUUGCAUGUAUUGAACGGACCAAAUUCAGAUAUGCAUUUAGGUUCUGAAUUUCAAUAAAUAAUAUCUCUAGUCCAAUACAUGAGCUUAUACUCUUAAUCUUGAUGUAGUUAUUAAGAUCUGUGUUGUUUGCUUUAUUAUUUUCAUCUAUUAAAAGGUGAGACUCUAUGAUGAGUCAAAAAAAUUCCUAAUGGAUUGGAUAAUAAAAAUUACAUUCAUGAAUUAAUAAUUAGCUGAUAGAACCAUAUCUCGGAUAUGAGAAAGAAGACACCCCUUUAUGGUUGCUUAUAAGUAGUCACGUGAAAACCCUGCAGGUGGAUUAUAUAUGUAUAUCCUUCACGUGAAUUAAUUUAAGCAUAAAGAUAAAGGAUUAAAUUAAUCAAUGGAUUAAAUUUUUCAGAAGUUUAAUUUAAUUGAUUGGUGUCGGUAAUUCUAACAUGGGGAGUUAAAUAAGUUGUAACGAAAAAAAAAUUGUAAUUAAAUAGAGGAAUGCAGUUGCAGAUUUUUAGUAGUACAAUCUGUGAUUUAUUAUGAUAUGGUUAAUUCAUGUUUUUUACGAAUUAAAUAUUAUAAUUGGAAGCCUCUGCUAAUAAAUUUGUGGUCCCUACUAUGCCUGAUUAAUUGAUCGAGUUCGAAAAAGAAAAGGACUAUUAGUAUGUUUUUUUCAGCUUAGGAAUAAAUUGUUUUUGACUUUUAUUAGUUUAAAAGAGAAAAACUUUUUCUUUCCUUAAAAGAAGAAAAAAGAAAUUACAGCAAUGUUUUAUUUCCUUAGAAGAUGAAAGAAACAAAUAAUAGUGUUUAAUGGUUAUUAGUGGCUAUUAAUGGUGUUAAUGGUUGUUGAUUACCCUUAGUGUUUAAUGACUUUCUAAAUACACUUAAUGAUAUUUAGUGGUUAUUGAUAACUAUUGAUCAUGGUUGUUAGAUACUCUUAACCAUGUCAAAAUACACUUAAUGGUAUUUAAUGGUUGUUGAUGACUAUUGAUCAUGGUUAUUGGAUACACUUAACAGUGUCCAAAUACACCUAAAGAUAUUUAAUGACUAUUAAUGACCAUUAAUUAUAACUAGAAACAUUUUUAUCUUUCAAACCUUUCCCUUGUACUGAAAAGUAUAAAUAGGGGUGGUGGUUCUCAAGGAAAUAAUAUCUUUUUUCUGAAAAUUUCUUGCCCACACAAGACUUUAUUAAGAAAGUUGGUCAGGAAUUAGUAGAAGACUGCAAUUCUGGAGUCCCGGUCCCUGAACGAGUUGUGUGAAAGCUACAAAAGGUUAGAGUUUCACAAAUUAUUUAGAUUACAUUAUUAUGCUUUUAUGUAAGUUUGUGAUUCUGAAAAAUGCUUUCGCUGUGCAUAUUCUAACAAUUGGUAUCACGAGUCUUCUUACAUAUAACUGAUUAUGUAAUAAGAGUCCAUGAUUUUGAUACAUAUUUGAUUAAAUCUGUUUAUAUCAUGAUGUACUUUUGAUGAACAUUUUUUUGUUGUUUAAAAAAAAAAGUGUUUUGUAUUCCAGAGUUGUAAGGGUUCAUUCCUACCUCUAAUAAAUGAUUUUAACAACUAUUAUAAGAGUUUAUAUGUUGACAUAGGUCUUCUUCCUCAUCGGAUAAACUUGUAUAUUUUGAUACUGUUAUGUUUGUCUUUUGAUUUGAUGACUUGUUUUAACUUUCCAACUAAGUUGCAUGUUGAAUCAAUGAACAACAUACAAUAUAUAUACCUGACUAAACUUCACAAAUUACUUUCUAACUGAGUUGGACUUGUAUUGUUUAAGUGGUAUUAUAUAUAUGAACUUGCUCAUAUAUUUGCUUGAACAGUUAAGUUUCCCUAUCGAUUCUAAUUGUUCAUUAGCAUGAUUAUAUGUGUCUUGUUUUGUUAUUUUUUAUUUUUUUAUUUUUUAAAGAACAUGUUACUAAUGAUCUAUUUUAAAUAUCUCUCAGAUUAACUAUGUCUCACUUCAAUCCUCUGUCCUCUAUCUUGAACCAAAGCAAACUGGAAGGUCCUAGCUAUGUGGACUGGAAAUGAAACCUUGAUAUUGUUCUAACAUCUGAGGGUUUCAAAUAUGUGUUGGUUGAAGAAUUCCCCAUUAAACCAGCAGAUGCUACUGAUGAGGAGAUUAAGGCCUAUGAGAAAUGGGUCAAGGCUGAUGAGAUGGCAAGGUGCUACAUUCUUGCCUCAAUAUCGAAUGUCUUGCAGCAUCAACAUCAGUCUAUGAAACUGCUUACGAUAUGCUCGAAUCUCUCAAAGAGAUGUUCGAAGAGCAAAAUCGUGCUGCCAAGCAGACUGCCAUGAAGGCUAUCUUGACCACCAAAAUGGUUGAAGGAUCACCUGUCAAGGAUCAUGUGCUGAACAUGAUGAGUUAUCUGAAUUAGCUGGAGAUACUUGGCUCUGCUAUUGAUAAGGAAUCUCAGGUUGAGAUGAACCUACAGACUCUGCCGGAGAGUUUUCAACAGUUUCUCUUGAAUUAUAAUAUGAACAAGAUGGAUUUGUCUCUUGCGAAAUUGUUGAAUGAACUGACAGCGGCAGAAUCCAUUAUCAAACAGCAACCUCCUCCCUCUGUAGCAUACAUGGUGGGCAAACAUGUCGCUUCUUUGUCUAAACCGGCUAAAUCCCAAAAGAAGAAGAAGAAGUCGUGCAAGGUUGUGUCACCUGGAGGUGCUACAGGUGGUGUGGCUAAGCCUAAGGGCAAGUGCUACCACUGCAAGCAGCCUGGUCAGCACAAGAGGCAAUGCCCUGACUAUCCAGCCAAAAUGAAGAACAAAGGUAAUUCUUGUUUAAAUGUCGUUGAAACCUUUUUAGCAGCUGUUUCUACCCAAUUAUGGGCUGUAGAUUCAGGAGCCACUGACCAUGUCUGCACUUCUUUGCAGGUGUUUCAGGAAACGCGGCGGCUAAGUGAGAAUGAAGUUUGUAUUUUUCAGGCGAAUGGGGAACCAACACCAGUCCUAGCAAUAGGAAAUAUCUCUUUUUCUUUUAGUAGUUCCAGAAUUCUGUUUUUAAAAGAUGUUCUGUAUGUACCUUCGAUAAGAAGGAAUUUGCUUUCAGUUUCAAAAAUAAUGGAUGUUGGUUAUGAUGUUUUAUUUGCAAAUAAUUGUGUUGUUAUUAAGUAUGAUAAGCAAUUCAUCCAUAGUGCUCCUAAAAUACAUCAUCUCUUUGUAUUUGAAGUCUCCCAUGACAUGCUACACCAUAAUGAAUUAAAUAAUAUUGAUAUUUCUUAUAAAAGAAAACGUAUUUCUGAAUUGAGUCAAACUUACUUAUGGCACUUACGUCUAUGUCAUAUCAAAAUAAAUAGGAUUUCAAGGUUGGUUUCUAAUGGACCUCUGAGUUCAUUGAAAGUGGAGGCACUACCAACCUGUGAAUCUUGUUUAGAAGGUAAAAUGACAAAGAGACGUUUCCCUUCCAAAGGAAAUAGAGCCAGUAAUAAGUUAGAAUUAAUUCAUUCUGAUUUGUGCGGUCCUAUGAAUAUACGAGCAAGAGGGGUUUUUUGAGUAUUUUGUGACUUUCACAGAUGACUACUCAAAAUAUGGAUACAUUUAUUUGUUGCGCCACAAAUCUGAAUGCUUUGAGAGGUUCAAAGAAUUCAAGAUAGAAACGGAAAAGCGACAUGGUAAACAUAUCCAAACGAUCAGAUCAUGGUGGUGAAUACCUUUCGGCAGAAUUCAUUAAGUACUUAUCAGAAUCGGGCAUUACAUCUCAAUAUUCUCCCCCAGGAACACCACAAUAAAAUGGUGUGGCAAAACGAAGAAAUAGAACUCUUUUGGAAAUGGUUAGAUCAAUGUUAAGUUAUUCAGAUUUGUCUUUUAGCUUUUGGGGAUAUGCCUUAGAAACUGCAAAUUACAUUCUGAAUUUGGUUCCUUCCAAAUAUGUUCCUUUAACCCCAUCCAAAUUGUGGAAUGGGCGCAAGCCUAGUCUAUGGCAUAUUCGAGUUUGGGGAUGUCCAACACAUGUAUUAAAAGGGAAAACAAGUAAGUUGGAAUCAAGGACAGAAGUGUGCAUUUUCAUUGGAUAUCCAAAAGGAACUAAAGGAGGUUUAUUUUAUUAUCCUAAGGAACAAAAGGUAAUUGUUUCAACAAAUGCCAAGUUUCUGGAACAAGACUAUUUAAUUAACCAUGUUCCUAGAAGUAAACUUGUGUUACAGGAACUAAGCAAAUGAAUACCUACUAAUGAAACAUCAACACAACUACCUAAAACAAUUGUUGACAUACCAUUGCAUCCACAUAGUGGGAGGAAUGUCGAUCGAAAAGAGGUUGCUCAAGAGGAUGCUCUAGAGGUUGCUCAAAAGCAGACUCAAGACAUCUCGCUACCACAACGUAGUGGGAGUAAUGUCGCGCAACCUGACAUUGUGGAGGAAGUACUUCAGAAUUUUCAUAAUUUAGUUCAAGAUGUAGCAAAUCAUGUAGUUGCUAGUCGUCGUCGUGGUAGAGUUAUUAGAAAACCACAAAGGUUUAUGCUCUUGGGAGAAUCAUACGAUAGAAUCCCUGAAGAGACUAAUAUAGAACCAUUAAAUUACGCCGAAGCACUACAUGAUAAAGAUGCUGAAAUGUGGGUUGUUGCUAUGAAAUCUGAAAUGGAAUCUAUGUACUCAAACCAAGUCUGGGAUCUUGUGGAACCACCAAUAGGUGUUAAAUUUAUUGGUUGUAAGUGGAUCUACAAGAAAAAAAGAGGUGUGGAUGGAAAAUUGAAAACUUUUAAGGCUCGGCUUGUUGCGAAAGGGUUUAUUCAAAAAAAAGGAAUUGAUUAUGAGGAAACUUUUUCGCCUAUAGCCAUGCUUAAAUUCAUUAGGAUUCUGAGAUUUGGAAAAUGGAUGUCAAGACAACUUUUUUAAACGGAAGUCUUGAAAAGUGCAUUUAUAUGGCACAACCAGAAGGUUUCAUGGUAAAUGGAAAUGAACACAUGGUUUGUAAACUUAAGAGAUCCAUUUAUAGAUUGAAACAGGCAUCUCGGGCAUGGAACAUUUGUUUUGACAAUUCGAUUAAAACUUGUGGUUUUGAUCAGUUUGAAAAUGAAUCAUGCAUCUAUAAGAAAUGGGAGGGAGACAGAGUAACAUUUUUUAUUCUGUACGUAGAUGACAUCUUGCUCAUAGGAAAUAAUGCGAGCAUGUUGAAUUCUGUUAAAGAGUGGUUGUCGUCGCGUUUUGAUAUGAAAGACUUGGGAUUAAGCUUUUUCGAGAUCGCAAACAAAGGAUAUUAGGCUUGUCUCAAGCACUUUAUAUUGAUACUAUUCUUGCGAGGUUUAGCAUGCAAAAUUCCAAAAAGGGGUUUCUUCCUUUUAGACAUGGAAUUAAUUUAUCAAAGGACCAGUCACCUAAAACGACCGACGAGAUAGAAAGGAUGAAGGCGGUAGGCAUGGUUAGCAGAUUUCAGUCUAACCCUGGGCAAGAACAUUGGACUGCAGUCAAGCAUAUCAUCAAGUACCUUAAAAGGACUAGGGAUUAUAUGCUUGUUUUCCACCCUGGCAAUCUUGUACCUAUUGGAUAUACAAAUUCAGAUUUCCAGUUAGAUAGAGAUUCUAGAAAAACAAACUCAGGAUAUGUAUUUACUCUAGGAGGUGGAGCCAUAGUUUGGAGGAGCAUAAAGCAAUCUUGUGUUGCUGAUUCCACCAUGGAAGCUGAAUAUAUAACUGCAUCUGAGGCGGCUAAAGAGGUUGUUUGGCUCAGAAACUUUCUAAAAGAGCUCGAAGUGGUUCCUUCUAUUGAAGCACCAAUUACACUCUAUUGUGAUAAUAGUGGUGCAGUUGCCAACUCAAAAGAACCACGAAGCCAUAAAAGGAGUAAGCACAUUGAGAGGAAAUAUCACUUGAUUCGUGAUAUAACUCAAAGGGGUGAUGUAAGAGUUUUGAAGAUUAAAUCGAAGAACAAUUUGGCGGAUCCAUUUACCAAAGCCUUACCUCAGAAGUCUUUUGAUAAGCAUGUGGAUGAAAUAGCUGUUAAAAUUGUACAUGCAUGGUUAUGAGUCUAAGUGGGAGAUUGUUGGGAUAUACUAUUAACCAUAUGGUUGAGUUAUAGUACUGAUUUUAAUCCUUUAUAAAGACUUUAUGUUUUAUGUUAAUUGUUACAAUAAAGUUUUUGUUUGAAUAGAUCAUUGCGUUUAUAUGUGUGUCCAUUGCUUAUCUAGUAGACAAUUUUUGGGUAUGGAGUUGCUUAACUCAUGCGCGGAAGAUUAAAAUUGUCGGUUCUUAUAAGUCAUAAAUUAUAUGUUCACGUCAAAGAUGAAAUUGGACAAACAUCUUGAUGAUUGUAACACAAGAUUAAAAGUAAUUCAAUCUUAAUUAUGGGAAUGGUAAAAUUCCAACUUCUUGUGUUAGUACAUUUUGCAUGUAUUGAACGGACCAAAUUGAGAUAUGCAUUUAGGUUCUGAAUUUCAAUAAAUAAUAUCUCUAGUCCAUUACAUGAGCUUAUACUCUUAAUCUUGAUGUAGUUAUUAAGAUCUGUGUAGUUUGCUUUAUUAUUUUCAUCUAUUAAAAGGUGAGACUCUAUGAUGAGUCAAAAAAUUCCUAAUGGAUUGGAUAAUAAAAAUUACAUUCAUGAAUUAAUAAUUAGCUGAUAGAACCAUAUCUCGGAUAUGAGAAAGAAGACACCCCUUUAUGGUUGCUUAUAAGUAGUCACGUGAAAACCCUGCAGGUGGAUUAUAUAUGUAUAUCCGUCACAUGUAUUAAUUUAAGCAUAAAGAUAAAGGAAUAAAUUAAUCAAUGGAUUAAAUUUUUCAGAAGUUUAAUUUAAUUGAUUGGUGUCGGUAAUUCUAACAUGGGGAGUUAAAUAAGUUGUAACGAAAAAAAAAUUGAAAUUUAAUAGAAGAGUGCAGUUGCAGAUUUUUAGUGGUACAAUCUGUGAUUUAUUAUGAUAUGGUUAAUUCAUGCUUUUUACGAAUUAAAUAUUAUAAUUGGAAGCCUCUGCUAAUAAAUUUGUGGUCCCUACUAUGCCUGAUUAAUUGAUCGAGUUCGGAAAAGAAAAGGACUGUUAGUAUUUUUUUUCAACUUAGAAAUAAAUUGUUUUUGACUUUUAUUAGUUUAAAAGAGAAAAACUUUUUCUUUCCUUAAAAGAAGAAAAAAAGAAAAUACUGCAAUGUUUUAUUUCCUUAGAAGAUGAAAGAAACAAAUAAUAGUGUUUAAUGGUUAUCAGUGGCUAUUAAUGGUGUUUAAUGGUUGUUGAUUACCCUUGGUGUUUAAUGACUUUCUAAAUACACUUAAUGAUAUUUAGUGGUUGUUGAUAACUAUUGAUCAUGGUUGUUAGAUACUCUUAACCAUGUCAAAAUACACUUAAUGGUAUUUAAUGGUUGUUGAUGACUAUUGAUCAUGGUUAUUGGAUACACUUAACAGUGUCCAAAUACACCUAAAGGUAUUUAAUGACUAUUAAUGACCAUUAAUUAUGACUAGAAACAUUUCAUCUUUCAAACCUUUCCCUUAUACUGAAAAGUAUAAAUAGGGGUGGUGGUUCUCAAGGAAAUAAUAUCCUUUUUCUGAAAAUAUCUUGCCCACACAAGACUUGAUUAAGAAAGUUGGUCAGGAAUUAGUUGAAGAUUGCAAUUCUGGAGUCCCAGUCCCUGAACGAGUUGUGUGAAAGCUACAAAAGGUUAGAGUUUCACAAAUUAUUUAGAUUACAUUAUUAUGCUUUUAUGUAAGUUUGUGAUUCUGAAAAAUGCUUCCGUUGUGCAUAUUCUAACAAUUCAAAAGAAAAACAUCAAUUGCAACAGCUUCUCCCCAAAAAUAAUCUGGCAGACCCUUUGCUUUUGGUGAACUUCGAGCCAUUUCCACCACCGUCCUAUUCUUCUGCUCAACCACACCAUUCUACUCCCGUGUAUAUGGCGUUGUAAGUUCCUUGUGAAUUCCAUUCUCAUCACAGAACAAAUUAAAAUCAUUAGACAAGAAUUCACCACCUCUAUCGAUAUAGAGUGAUUUUAUCAUGUUACCACUUUGAUUCUCUACAAAUGUCUUAAAUUUCUUGAAAUUCUCAGAGGUUUCAGAUUUGAAUUUCAAGAAAUAAACCUAACUAAAGCGGCUGUAAUCAUGAGUAAACAUAAAAAAAA